UACUCCUACGGGAGGCAGAGUGGGGAAUAUUGGACAAUGGGCGAAAGCCUGAUCCAGCCAUGCCGCGUGGGUGAAGAAGGCCUUCGGGUUGUAAAGCCCUUUUGUUGGGGAAGAAAUCCUGCUGGCUAAUAUCCGGCGGGGAUGACGGUACCCAAAGA
rnacentral:rRNA from 1 species